rnacentral:tRNA from 1 species
GGAGAGAUGGGUGAGCGGCUUAAACCAGCAGUUUGCUAAACUGCCGUAUGCGAUUAGUGUACCGGGGGUUCGAAUCCCCCUCUCUCCG